rnacentral:rRNA from 1 species
UACGGAGGGCGCAAGCGCUGUUCGGAAUCACUGGGCGUAAAGCGCGUGUAGGCGGCCCUGCAAGUCGGGUGUGAAAUCCCGAGGCUCAACCUCGGAACUGCACUCGAAACUGCUUGGCUCGAGUCCCGGAGAGGGUGGCGGAAUUCCAGGUGUAGGGGUGAAAUCCGUAGAUAUCGGGAGGAACACCAGUGGCGAAGGCGGCCACCUGGACGGUGACUGACGCUGAGACGAGAAAGCGUGGGGAGCAAACAGG